rnacentral:lncRNA from 1 species
CCAGUAAUGGGAUUGCUGGGUAAAAUUGUAUUUUUCCAGUUCUAGGUCUUUGAGGAAUCACCACACUGUCUUCCACAAUGGUUGAACUAAUUUACUUUCCCACCAAUGGUGUAAAAAGGGGAAAAAGAAAUCCUUCCAUUCUCUAAACUAGCUUGAGUUGAUUUAUAUCACAGCAUCUCCAAGAGCAUAGAUCUUCUGCUACACGACAGGGCCAGGGCCAGGACCACUUUCAGCUCCAGGCAAUUGCACUGAGGACUCAGUGACACAACCGUGUGAAGUGCCUGCUUCCCCUUCGCCUUCUGCCAUGAUUGGAAGCUUCCUGAGGCCUCUACAGAAGCAGAAGCCGCUAUGCUUCCUGUACAGCUUGCAGAACUAUGAGCCAA